rnacentral:rRNA from 1 species
UACGUAGGGGGCAAGCGUUGUCCGGAUUUAUUGGGCGUAAAGAGCGUGUAGGCGGUUUGGUAGGUCCGUUGUGAAAACUCGAGGCUCAACCUCGAGACGCCGAUGGAAACCAUCAGACUAGAGUCCGGAAGAGGAGAGUGGAAUUCCUGGUGUAGCGGUGAAAUGCAUUGAGAUCGGAAAGAACACCAACGGCGAAAGCACUCUGCUGGGCCGACACUGACACUGAGAGACGAAAGCUAGGGGAGCAAAUGGG